CACGUAGGGGCGAGCGUUGUCCGGAAUUACUGGGCGUAAAGGGCGCGCAGGCUGUUAUGCGAGUCUGCUGUGAAAUGUACCGGCUCAACCGGUGCCUUGCGGCGGAUACUGCAUAGCUGGAGUACUGGAGAGGGAAGUGGAAUUCCCAGUGUAGCGGUGAAAUGCGUAGAUAUCGGGAGGAACACCGGUGGCGAAGGCGGCUUUCUGGCCAGUUACUGACGCUCAUGCGCGAAAGCUGGGGUAGCGAACCGGAUUAGAUA
rnacentral:rRNA from 1 species